rnacentral:rRNA from 1 species
AAGAUGCAGGUUACCCGCGACAGGACUGAAAGACCCCGUGGAGCAUGAGCUGUGAUGGCGAGCGAAAUAUAGUAGCGAAGUUCCUGAUUCCACACUGCCAAGAAAAGCCUCUAGCGAGGUGAGAGGUGCCCGUACCGCAAACCGACACAGGUAGGCGAGGAGAGAAUCCUAAGGUGAUCGAGAGAACUCUCGUUAAGGAACUCGGCAAAAUGACCCCGUAACUUCGGGAGAAGGGGUGCUCUGUUAGGGUGCAAGCCCGAGAGAGCCGCAGUGAAUAGGCCCAGGCGACUGUUUAGCAAAAACACAGGUCUCUGCGAAGCCGUAAGGCGAAGUAUAGGGGCUGACGCCUGCCCGGUGCUGGAAGGUUAAGAGGAGCGCUUAGCGUAAGCGAAGGUGCGAAUUGAAGCCCCAGUAAACGGCGGCCGUAACGAUAACGGUCCUAAGGUAGCGAAAUUCCUUGUCGGGUAAGUUCCGACCCGCACGAAAGGCGCAACGAUCUGGGCACUGUCUCAACGAGAGACUCGGUGAAAUUAUAGUACCUGUGAAGAUGCAGGUUACCCGCGACAGGACGGAAAGACCCCGUGGAGCUUUACUGCAGCCUGAUAUUGAAUGUUGGUACAGCUUGUACAGGAUAGGUAGGAGCCUUGGAAACCGGAGCGCCAGCUUCGGUGGAGGCAUCGGUGGGAUACUACCCUGGCUGUAUUGACCUUCUAACCCGCCGCCCUUAUCGGGCGGGGAGACAGUGUCAGGUGGGCAGUUUGACUGGGGCGGUCGCCUCCUAAAAGGUAACGGAGGCGCCCAAAGGUUCCCUCAGAAUGGUUGGAAAUCAUUCGCAGAGUGUAAAGGCACAAGGGAGCUUGACUGCGAGACCUACAAGUCGAGCAGGGACGAAAGUCGGGCUUAGUGAUCCGGUGGUUCCGCAUGGAAGGGCCAUCGCUCAACGGAUAAAAGCUACCCCGGGGAUAACAGGCUUAUCUCCCCCAAGAGUCCACAUCGACGGGGAGGUUUGGCACCUCGAUGUCGGCUCAUCGCAUCCUGGGGCUGUAGUCGGUCCCAAGGGUUGGGCUGUUCGCCCAUUAAAGCGGUACGCGAGCUGGGUUCAGAACGUCGUGAGACAGUUCGGUCCCUAUCCGUCGCGGGCGCAGGAAAUUUGAGAGGAGCUGUCCUUAGUACGAGAGGACCGGGAUGGACGCACCGCUGGUGUACCAGUUGUUCUGCCAAGGGCAUCGCUGGGUAGCUAUGUGCGGACGGGAUAAGUGCUGAAAGCAUCUAAGCAUGAAGCCCCCCUCAAGAUGAGAUUUCCCAUUCCGCAAGGAAGUAAGAUCCCUGAAAGAUGAUCAGGUUGAUAGGUCUGAGGUGGAAGUGUGGCGACACAUGGAGCUGACAGAUACUAAUCGAUCGAGGACU